rnacentral:rRNA from 1 species
GAUGAACGCUGGCGGCGUGCCUAAUACAUGCAAGUCGAACGAGUGGCGGACGGGUGAGUAAUGUCUGGGAAACUGCCUGAUGGAGGGGGAUAACUACUGGAAACGGUAGCUAAUACCGCAUACCCUAGGAUGUGCCCAGAUGGGAUUAGCUAGUAGGUGGGGUAACGGCUGACCUAGGCGACGAUCCCUAGCUGGUCUGAGAGGAUGACCAGCCACACUGGAGCGGAGACACGGUCCAGAGUCCUACGGGAGGCAGCAGUGGGGAAUAUUGCACAAUGGGCGCAAGCCUGAUACAGCCAUGCCGCGUGUAUGAAGAAGGCCUUCGGGUUGUAAAGUACUUUCAGCGGGGAGGCGUUACCCGCAGAAGAAGCACCGGCUAACUACGUGCCAGCGGCCGCGGUAAUAC